rnacentral:rRNA from 1 species
AUUGAACGCUGGCGGCAGGCCUAACACAUGCAAGUCGAACGAGUGGCGGACGGGUGAGUAAUGUCUGGGAAACUGCCUGAUGGAGGGGGAUAACUACUGGAAAAGGUAGCUAAUACCGCAUACCCUCAGAUGUGCCCAGAUGGGAUUAGCUAGUUGGUGGGGUAACGGCUCACCAAGGCGACGAUCCCUCACUGGUCUGAGCGGAUGACCGGCCACACUGGAACUGAGACACGGGCCAAAGUACUAAGGGGGGCAGCGGUGGGGAAUAUUGCACAAUGGGGGCAAGCCUGAUGCAGCCAUGCCGCGUGUAUGAAGAAGGCCUUCGGGUUGUAAAGUACUUUCAGCGGGGAGGCGUUACCCGCAGAAGAAGCACCGGCUAACUCCGUGCCAGCCGCCGCGGUAAUA